GACGAACGCUGGCGGCGUGCCUAAUACAUGCAAGUAGAACGCUGAAGGAGGAGCUUGCUCUUCUGGAUGAGUUGCGAACGGGUGAGUAACGCGUAGGUAACCUGCCUGGUAGCGGGGGAUAACCAUUGGAAACGAUAGCUAAUACCGCAUAACAGUAGAUGUUGCAUGACAUUUACUUAAAAGGUGCAAUUGCAUCACUACCAGAUGGACCUGCGUUGUAUUAGCUAGUUGGUGGGGUAACGGCUCACCAAGGCGACGAUACAUAGCCGACCUGAGAGGGUGAUCGGCCACACUGGGACUGAGACACGGCCCAGACUCCUACGGGAGGCAGCAGUAGGGAAUCUUCGGCAAUGGACGGAAGUCUGACCGAGCAACGCCGCGUGAGUGAAGAAGGUUUUCGGAUCGUAAAGCUCUGUUGUAAGAGAAGAACGAGUGUGAGAGUGGAAAGUUCACACUGUGACGGUAUCUGACCAGAAAGGGACGGCUAACUACGUG
rnacentral:rRNA from 1 species